rnacentral:tRNA from 1 species
GUUUUUGUAGUUGAAAUACAGCAGCGGUUUUUCAGACCGCAGGUCUUGGUUAAAAUCCAGGUGAAAAUU